rnacentral:rRNA from 1 species
GGGUUCCGUUUCCGGUCCGUUCCCGGUUGGGGGUUCGGGACGGGUAGGUAGGGACGGAACGGGUGAAGUAAUACAGUACCGGAACCGUACCGUAGGAAGGUAGGGGGAAUAACGUAGACGAAAGUUACGCUAAUACCGCAUAUUCUGUGAGCAGGAAAGAGGGGGAUCGCAAGACCUCUUGCUUUAGGAGCGGCCGAUGUCGGAUUAGCUAGUUGGUGAGGUAAAGGCUCACCAAGGCGACGAUCCGUAGCGGGUCUGAGAGGAUGAUCCGCCACACUGGGACUGAGACACGGCCCAGACUCCUACGGGAGGCAGCAGUGGGGAAUUUUGGACAAUGGGCGCAAGCCUGAUCCAGCCAUGCCGCGUGAGUGAAGAAGGCCUUCGGGUUGUAAAGCUCUUUCGGUGGGGAAGAAAUUGCUUCGGUUAAUACCUGGAGUAGAUGACGGUACCCGCAUAAGAAGCACCGGCUAACUACGUG